UACGGGGGGAGCAAGCGUUGUUCGGAUUUACUGGGCGUAAAGGGCGCGUAGGCGGCCACCGCAAGUCGACUGUGAAAUCUCCGGGCUUAACCCGGAAAGGUCAGCCGAUACUGCGGGGCUAGAGUGCAGAAGGGGCAACUGGAAUUCUCGGUGUAGCGGUGAAAUGCGUAGAUAUCGAGAGGAACACCUGCGGCGAAGGCGGGUUGCUAGGCUGACACUGACGCUGAUGCGCGAAAGCCAGGGGAGCAAACGGG
rnacentral:rRNA from 1 species